rnacentral:pre_miRNA from 1 species
UAUUAAAGAUUUUAUCCAUUUUCAUUGAUAAAAAUUGACAUGGUUGAUAAAAUAUCUAGACAAUUACACGUGGAGUACCACGUGAGGCAUACUGAUAUACAAGAAUUGAUUUUUAGUAGUAAAAAUAGAUGAAUUUUUAAUA